AGGAUAAUAGUUAAUAAUAACAUUUGGGUUGCAUUCAAAAAGUGUUGAAUAUUUCAACUUAUCUU
rnacentral:tRNA from 1 species